GUGCUCACUUCAGCAGAAUAUAUACUGUAAUUGGAAUAAUUUAUAGAAGAUUACCAUGGCCUCUGUGCAAAAAUGACACAUUAAUUCAUGGAUAUAUUCUAUAAAUUU
ensembl:snRNA U6 U6 spliceosomal RNA